CUACACCACAGCUCACGGCAUCGCUAGAUCCUUAACCUACUGAGCAAGGCCAGGGAUCGAACCCGCAUCCUCAUGGUUCCUAGUCAGGUUCUUAACCCACAACGGGAACCCUGGACUUGGUGUAAUCUUGGGACAAAGCAAGAGCAGGAGAUGAGGCUGGGAAUGCCUGGCUUGGAACCUGUCAGAUGUUGAAUGCCAGCUCGAGUGUAUAUUUCGAAUCAGAUUUCAGUGCACGUUUGUCCUGGUUUCUGUUUUCUUGUAGUUCCUUGUGCAGAAAAACCCCAAGAGCACGGCCAUGUGGUUGGUCUGCCUCUCGGGUUCCCUAACCUGCUCUGCCUUUAACGUCCUUGGCUCCGUCUAGAGGCCUAGGAUCCCCGAUGGCUGCGUUCUCCUUGCCUCGUGAUCACAGGGGCUUCGUUAAACGCCCGCGGCUUGCAGAGUCCGCCCUGCAUUCGAAGGCGCCGCCUGCGUGCUUCCUCCCAGCCUGCCCAGAGUCCAGAGGAGUGGGAGGGGCCCCUACAUUGUCCCCACUGUGCCAAGAAGAGCGCCUAAGCUCACACUGGGUCGUGCUCAUGCCACCCAGGGAAGAGAAAAGAAAACCGUUCUGAUGAGAGAGGCUUAGAUACUCAGGAUGUUUUGGAGACAGCGCUUUAAGUGCCUUUUCCGAUGGAGCUGUGCACUGACACUUCCAAAGCUUUCCUUGAAGUCAGUCAAGACACAGCUAGAAGUUCCCACUGUGGCUCAACAGUAAUGAAUCUGACGAGUAUCCAUGAGGACUCGGGUUCGAUCCCUGGCCCCGCUCAGAGGGUUAAAGAUCCCAUGUUGCUUCCCGCCGUGGUGUAGGUUGCAGAUGUGGCUCGGACCCCAUGCUGCUGUGGUUGUGGUGUAGGCUGGCAGCUGCAGCUGCAGCUCCGAUUUGACUCCUACCCUGGUAACUUUCAGCUGCUGCAAGUGUGGCCCUAAAAAACAAACAAACAAAAGACAUAUCGAUUUGCCUACUGAACAUGAAAGAGCACUGGGCCCUUGAGCUCCGUGAAUAGACAAUCACUGGGAAAUGCGCGCGGCUCCCUGGUGGUUGUCCUGCUGCCUGUGGGUCCCCUCCCCAGGGGAGGGUGCAUGCUCUGAGGGAGGAGAGGCACGUGAUUUGGGACUGUCACUUAGGAUGACAAACAGGUGCAUCUUAGGAAGCGACCCCAGCCCUGGCACCUGACUACGGCAAUGUCUGAAUCUUCUACAAACUCAAUAAAACACGUUCAGCCAAAAUUAGGAACCGGACCCAGAGACCAAAGAAGGUCACAGCCAGUCUUGGGCUCAUGGACGGAACCAGGAACAGAAGCCUCUACUCAGCUGUCCAGCCUGGGACACUUGCCGCUACAAGAGUUUCCAUAUCCAUUUGGAGAGAAUGACCAAUCAAUGUACAGGAGACACGGCCGACAGCAAAGGGCGAUGCUGUGAAUAAGGACCCCAGAACCAAACUGGUCUGGGACAAACUCGGACACAAGGCACCCUACUGUGAGACCACCACCCACCUCCUCCGACGGACAAGCAGAGGCCACUGAGUUCCGACUGUACCUGUCCCACCCCGUCCUCAGUCUGAUCACCUCAUGGCCUCAGGCAGGCCACCUGCUGGGCCUGAUAACUAGCCACCGCUUUCCCAUCCUGCCAAACACAGGCAUAGGCGUGCAUGCACACAACACGUGCACCCAGGCACACACACAUCCAGGCACACACAGGCACUCGCACACUGGCAUGUGUACUGGGCACAUCCUUCGGACCCACCGGAGCCAACCCCAGUUUCCCAUGUUCUUCACAGUAGAUCAAGCCCCCCCCCAUCUUUAUUUGCCUUCAGGAGAGAGCUGAGACUUCGCUAAUGCUGCCGAACCAGAGAUCCUGUGGUUUGCAGCUUACGAACCAACAAGCAGGGUGGGCAGAUGGCCAGCAAGGGAGAAAAGCCUGGGGGCAGUGAGGCCAUGCUUUCCUCUCCCACAAGCUCCCGAGUGUCUCCUGACCUUCAAAGAACCUCCCUUCCUCACAGCUGUGCACAGCUGGGUGAGAAAAUGGCCCACUCACCACUCACCCACCUGCACCUGGCAGGUCCCCAUCCCACAUGCACACUGGCAGGAUCCUGGCAGUCCAGCCAUGGGACGCCUGCCCUUGUUUGGCGUUGAGAAGCCAUGUGGCCAGAGACCUGACCGUGGACCCGCUCUCCUCCUCUGUAAAAUGGGCACAGUCCACCGGCUAGACCUGCCUCUGCAGGUUGUUAGGGGAACAAAACAAAAAUAUAGACGAUGCAAAAGCAGUUCAGCUGCUGUGCAGGGCUCUCUGUGCUGAGCUGCUCUCCGCCUGCCCACCCUCCUGCCCAGUCCUGCCCAGUCCCGCCCAGUCCUGCCCGGUCCUGCCUGCUCCCGGCUGCAGCAGAGGUGCUCCUGGUGGCUUUGGGCUGGGGGACUCUGACAGUGGCCAGCCCAGACUGGGCAAGUGGAGAACAAGGCAGGACUUUUAAGCCAGAAAAACACUUGGCAUUGGAAAUAGGCAAGGGGAGUCCUGAGGACUCCAAACCCGACUUGCUUGGACUUCUGACUGUCGGCCUGUAAACUACUUCCCUUCCCAGCCCCUCUUCCCCCAGUAACCAUAAAUCCAAUUUAAGUUUUUAGUCUGUUGUUGCUGUUGUUGCACCCAUGGCAUGUGGAAGUUCCCAGAACAAACCCGCUCCACAGCAGUGAUGAUGCCAGAUCCUUAACUUAACUGAGCCACCAGGGAGCUCCUGCUUUUUUUCCUUUUUUCACCACAACAGCAGCACACGGAAGUUCCCAGGUCAGUUAACUUCAAGCUACUCCAAAUCCAAGCUGUAACUCUGACCUACACCUACACCACAGCCGUGGCAAUGCUAGACCCUUAACCCACUGGGCCACAGUGGGAGCUCAUUUUUUGUUGCAGUGUCCGUGAUUGGUGAUGUUGUGUUAAUUUCUGCUGUGAUUCAGUUACACACAUGUAUAUACAUUAUUUUAAUAUUCUUUUCUUUUAUCAUGGAAUAUUGAAUAUAGUUCCCUGUGCUGUGCAGUACAGUCUUGUUUAUUCCCCCUGUGUAGACUGUUAAGCAAACUUGCAACGUGAUGAUGUGAGUUAAGUACUAUUUAUCCCCUCACAGUGCCUUCCACUUGCAAAUUAGGUCUAAAGGACUUGUAAGAUGCUAGUCCCCUCUGAGGAGUGUGGAGUUCCAGCCGCUAAAUCAUUUUCCAAAAUACUGAACGUAAUUAAAUUUUGUUUGGAGAGCAGCUUGGGUUUCCACUUGGGAUCAUUCGUGUGUGACUCAUCAUAAAGCUAGAAAGCUAAAGGUUUGGGGUUUUGUUGCCCGAAUCACCUGGUAUCUACAGCAGUAGGUCAACAUCCUGGAAUAAUCUAGCCGGGACUUUUCCCAGACCUGGGUACGGAAGCAGCUGGUUUCUCUGCAUUUUCACCGACGCCUUGCACGCACAGGACAGGCUGACUAAUCCGCGACGAUAACCUAGUCACCUGCUUCCCGUCCCCUCAGUCCUGCUUUCUGACUGUUAGUGAUGAAUGGGGUCAAUGCGCUCAGCGCCGUCCUCCCAGGUAACCUUCCGCACAAGCGCGGACUGGCUCUGCGUGUACUUGCCCACAUCCAGAGUCCCCCACACACGAGAAUCCCAGGAACGUCUACAAGCCGGGAGCAGAGGGAUGGAGGUGAUUAUAGGCAGGGCAUUGAAAAGAAGAAAGGAGAGUUGGGGGUUUUUUGGCCACGCUGGUGGCAAGCAGAAGUUCCUGGGGCAGGGAUCAAACCUGAGCUAGAGCAACGACCUGAGAUGCUGCCGUGACAACGCCAGAAAGGAGUUAUUUUUUUUUUUUAAGUAUAGCUGAUUUACAAUGUUUCAUCACUUUCUACUGUACAGCAAAGUGAGCCAGCCACACAUACACACACGAACUUUUAUUUCAUACUAUCUUCCUUCAUGUUCUAACCCAAGAGACGGGGCACAGCUCCCUGUGCGGUACAGUGGGACCCCACCUCUUGUCUGUUUCAAGUGUAAUAGGUUGCAUCUAUCAACCCCAAACUCCCCGUCUGGCCCCUUCUCUCCCCCCUCCCCCGUGGCGAACCCAAGUCUGAUCUCCACGUCUGUGACCUGUCAGAAAGGAGAGUUUGAAGAAAUUGAGAGAAAAGAAAAAUGAAGGUAGGAAGGAAGACUAAGCUGGAGCCAGAAAUGCAGCUGGAAGACAGGUGUCCCCUGAGAGCCUGCUGCUGGAAUCCUCCGAGGACCCUCGCAGGAGGGGCUCAUCAGCCAGGCCAGGGGACAUGGCAUUCACAGCGCUCCGGGUGGAACUGUGAUGUCACCCAGGGAACAGCAGCAAAUGGAAAGCUAGAGCUGCCAGUCUUUGCGCGGAGCUGCGCCUAGGUGUCAUCACCACAGGCCGGGGCAGGCAGGGACAGGUUAGCUGUGAUGCUUCGGAUGAGAGCAGAGCUGGGUACUACCAUCCAAGGACUGAGAGCACUCCGGGAGCACAGCCAAGGCCCCUUAGAGGUA
ensembl:lncRNA